GGGCUGUUAGCUCAGUUGGUUAGAGCGCUUGCUCGACAUGCAAGAGGCCACUGGUUCAAGUCCAGUACAGCCCACAA
rnacentral:tRNA from 1 species